UGUGACGGUGCUGGGAAGAUGGCGUCGCCGAGUGCGGGUGCAGAUUUGGAGCAGUCUUUGUUGAGCUUCGAGAAACUAGAUCGAGCUUCACCAGAUUUAUGGCCAGAACAAAUGCCAGGGGUAGCAGAAUUUGCAGCAUCUUUCAAGAGUCCUAUUACCAGCUCUCCACCCAAGUGGAUGGCAGAACUUGAGAAAGAUGACAUUGACAUGCUUAAAGAAUUGGGAAGUCUUACUACUGCUAACUUAAUGGAGAAGGUACGAGGACUACAGAAUCUUGCUUACCAGUUAGGACUGGACGAAUGAUCCCAAGGCUUCAGCUGCACAAUUGCCCACCACCCAGACUCUGAACUGACACCCUCCUGUCUCCCAGAAGUCUUCUUUUGCUAAAACUUGAGUGCGCUGUGACCAGGAACAACUUUAUGAUUAAGCACUUUGAGUGCUUUAAAAAUUGAUACUUUUAAAAGGUGCUUAAGGAACUUAAAGGUUUUGGCUGACAGCAAGGAGCAAGCAGGACUCAGAUGGUAUGGCACCUCAUAGCAUGGGAAUGCAAAUCUCAGGAGCUGGGAGGAUGGCAAGGGCCUGUAAUGGAUCCGUUGUUGAGGAUCACUGUUCGCAUAUCAUCAUGAAGCAGGUGAAGGAUGGUAGUGAAUCUUGGAGAACAUCCAUACUUCAGCAGAAUCUCCCAGAGUGCCUCACGAUUUACAGAGUCAACAGCCUUUAAUCAAGAGAUGCUGCCAGAGCUGCUGAAUUUUUCUAGCAUUUUCUGUUUUCCGAUUUCCAGCAUCCGCAGUAUAUAACUAGAGAACAGUCUAUUUCUGAUCAGGUGAAAGCCCGAGAAAUGACCAGAGGGAAAUUUUUAAACAUUCUGGAGCGGCCCAAGAAGUAGCUGUAAAAUUCCAACCACUUGCUUUUGCAAGAAGACCCAGCACUUAUUCAGAGACAGUUACUGUCCAUUGCAGACCCACAGAUGCCUUCCUCGGCUAAUCCUUCACAUAUCACCUGUUCCAACAGCCUUUUACAAUAGAACAACACAAGAUCCCAUUUUGUGGAUAACUUACCUUUUGGCCUGUAAGGCAAAUUGUUCUUAAAUGGAAACGGAGACCACAGUUCACAUUUGGUUGGUGUAAAAGGGACAGAAUUUGGUUUGUUUUGUGCAUGUCAAUUAAUGAUAUCAUUAUACUGUGCUAUACUAAUCUAGAUGUAUUUCCCAUAGUAUGUUUAGAAUUUGGUAUUCCCCUUUAACAUGCAGUGAAAUAAAUCCUGACGUUGCAGUUGAGGUUACGCACAACAAUAGCACUUUAGUUCAAGACAUGUGAUUCUAUCAGUACAUGUCCAUGUUUGGGUAACAAGUAAUCGUAUACCUGGUGGGGGGAGCAUUGCAAAAAAUAAAUUGCCUGGAUAUAGAAUAAAACUGCUUUCCACAAACCCCACCUAUGUAUAUUAUACAGAAUAAUUCAAAAUGGAGCUUGUUUCGUAAGAUGUAACAAACUCUGUGGUUUGAUAGAUCUUUUAAAAUUCUCUCUUAUGGUUUGUGAGGCCAUCUCAAACCUUUGCUGUAUUUUUGCCUUUUAACACAUUGCUGUGUAUGUGUUAUUGAAAUACAGUGAUAACGUAGAUAAACUCUCUGUUGAAAUGAUUGUGUAUUGCAGUGGUACCUUAAGGAGUGAUAGAUCAACAGAGAAAGGUUUAGAUUGAAAUGUCCAAAAAAAAUACUCAUGCUGGCAUUGGAAUACAUUUCCCACCUAAAUGUCACAGAACUGUGACCACCAAACAAAAUAAAACAUGGAUAUUUUGUUCUAAAUUAAACAAAUAACGUGCCAGCUUCAUUAUGAAGCUAUUAAAAAAGGUGUCAUUGCCAGACAGAAAUAAUUUUGUUCUAGAGAAGAAAGAUGUGAAAUUUUCAGAAGCAGUAAUUGUAUCCAAGAAUGCCUAUCGGUGUGCAUCAACAAUGGGUUAAGCGGUAUUGUUUAAAUGAAUGAUUUAUGUCUGCUUUGUAAGGAAAUAACUUUGAAUAUUCCACUGAUUUUUAUUCUUUUGCUAUUACAAGAAAAUAUUAGGACACAUUCAGUUAGUAACCCUGGAAGAAAUACUAUUCUUGAUUUUAUUUGCCCUUUCCCUGGGCCACAUCUGACUUCCUCAUGGCUACCAAAGUUAUGUCCUGUGAUUGACCUGCAAGAGGUAUAAUUCAGGUGGUUUACAAACUGCUAAGAGAACGAUUUAAAUUUGGGAGGGGACUGGUAUUAAGAAAACAAAUAUAUUUUAAACUAAAUUUUAAUCCAAGAUUUUACAUUUUAGUCGAGAACAUGAAGAUAAGUAAGUGAUAUACUUGAUCACAAUGUCACAACUGAGAUAGUGUCACUUCGGAGGGGGAGCAUGCUGGGAGCUCAGCCUUUCAGAUAGCAUUUCAAAUUGUUGAUUGUUGCAUACAAUCCUGUUCAGCCCAGUCUCAUCGACACACUCUUUGGGUUUGCUCCUUGCAGGCUUCUGGUAUACUGGAGACCAUCCUUUAAGGAUGCAGCCUGGUAAUUGAUGCACAAGGCUGAGCUGAAGUCUGAUUUUAGGACUGAGGUCUAGGGUAAAGUCAUAGGAUUAGAAAGGACAAACUUGCUGGAAACUUUGACCAGAGUAGUGGUCUAGAGCUAUCCCAAACAUGAGGAGCUUAUGUCUUAAGUGUUUACUUGUAAAGGUUUGGACAUUUUGUUUCAAUUGUAUGAAUCAUUGAAGCCUCCUUCCACCCCUUUAAUGAUCUUUAACAGACCAUUGAUGUUCCAAGUAUUAGUCUCAAGCUUUUGUUUUCCAGGUUUUAUUUAGAAUUUGAAACUGGACCUACUUUCAUGUCUUGUGCACAAAUGAGUGGAAUGUUUCUACAAUAUAUUUUAUUUUUGAAUUAAUAAACGUGCAUUAUUUUUAAAAAAAAAA